rnacentral:rRNA from 1 species
UACGGAAGGCAGCAGUGGGGAAUAUUGGACAAUGGGCGAAAGCCUGAUCCAGCAAUGCCGCGUGAGUGAUGAAGGCCUUAGGGUUGUAAAGCUCUUUUACCCGGGAUGAUAAUGACAGUACCGGGAGAAUAAGCUCCGGCUAACUCCGUGCCAGCAGCCGCGGUAAUACGGAGGAGCUAGCGUUGUUCGGAAUUACUGGGCGUAAAGCGCACGUAGGCGGCUUUGUAAGUUAGAGGUGAAAGCCCGGGGCUCAACCCCGGAACUGCCUUUGAUACUGCAUGGCUUGAAUCCAGGAGAGGUGAGUGGAAUUCCGAGUGUAGAGGUGAAAUUCGUAGAUAUUCGGAAGACACCAGUGGCGAAGGCGGCUCACUGGACUGGUAUUGACGCUGAGGGUGCGAAAGCGUGGGGAGCAAACGAGGGAUUAGAUA